CAGCGGCGGACGAGCGAGUAACACGUAAGUAGCUACCCUGUACUCGGGGAUAACGGUCUGAAAGGAUCGCUAAUACCGGAUGGUCUCGUAAGAGUAAAGAUUUAUCGGUACAGGAAGUGCUUGCGGCUUAUCAGUUUGUUGGUAGUGUAAGAGACUACCAAGGCUAUGACGAGUAGCUGGUGUGAGAGCAUGACCAGCCGCGAUGGGACUGAGACACGGCCCAUACUCC
rnacentral:rRNA from 1 species